UUCGGAUUGUAGUCUGCAACCCGACUACAUGAAGCUGGAAUCGCUAGUAAUCGCGGAUCAGAAUGCCGCGGUGAAUACGUUCCCGGGUCUUGUACACACCGCCCGUCACACCAUGGGAGUCGGAAAUGCCCGAAGUCUGUGACCUAACCGUAAGGGAGGAGCAGCCGAAGGCAGGUCGGAUGACUGGGGUGAAGUCGUAACAAGGUAAC
rnacentral:rRNA from 1 species